rnacentral:rRNA from 1 species
CGAACGGGUGAGUAACGCGUGAGGAACCUGCCUCAAAGAGGGGGACGACAGUUGGAAACGACUGCUAAUACCGCAUAAGCCCACGGCUCGGCAUCGAGCAGAGGGAAAAGGAGCAAUCCGCUUUGAGAUGGCCUCGCGUCCGAUUAGCUAGUUGGUGAGGUAACGGCCCACCAAGGCGACGAUCGGUAGCCGGACUGGGAGGUUGAACGGCCACAUUGGGACUGAGACACGGCCCAG